GGCAGCCUUCCCCAGCCUGGAACCUCCAGAUGGUUUCCACAACUCCUCCCAUGAACUCCCUGGUUGGGGCUAUUUUUGCAAGGGCCAAUGCUGAUGCUGAUGUGGUGAGCCAACUGAAAAAGACCAACGUUAUCAUUUUGAAAAAACUGAAAGAAGCAUCCCCUGAUGAAGGCUAGAUUUGAUUAGCCGAAACGCGUUGGGCUUUUUUACACAUUUUAAAUACAAAAACA